GAAAGACUCAACCCAGGUGAUGUCUAUAACCCAUCUCUCUCUUGCAAUCGAAGAUAUUAAAACCACUGUGACAUACGGUUCUAUGAACAUUUCCUUCUGUGCACAGGGAUAAUUGUGCACCUCUUACCUGUGGGGAUUUGGAAUUAUGUUAUAGAGCUUUCCCCGUAAUUAAGAAUACCUGAGGUCGGGAGUUCCUGUUGUGGCUCAGCAGUAAUGAACCUGACUAGUAUCCAUGAAGAUGAGGGUUUGAUCCUUGGCCUUGUUCAGUGGGUUAAGGAUCCGGCAUUUGACUUUCAUUCGUUGAUGGGUUAUUUAAAUAACCACUUACAUUUAACUGUACUGUCGUUUCUGGAAAUACCAUUGCUUUUUUUUUUCUAGGUCAGCGAUAUGACUUUCAUAGUCUUGAUGAAAAUAAAAGUGAAAGUAUUCUGAAAUGUAUAAACACCUUUGUUCAGUCAUUCAGCAGAGAGUCACUGAAGGUUUCUGGGAGCCAGAAGCCUCAGAUACUAGGAGGAGGACAGGCUUUACAGCAGAGCUCUGGGUGUGAAUGACUGUGCUGGGAGAGCUGGGGCAGUUCUCUUCACUUCUCUGACCCUCAGGUGCUGUGAGCUAGAUAAUGGCACUAAUAACUGCUAUUCGGUAAAGCACUCAUCUAGCUCUUGGCCUGGCAUUUGAAUUCAACAAAUGCCAAUCUUCUCACCUUCUUCUUUGCUCCUCUCAGAUCCCCUUUUCUUCUGGCAUGUGCACGUGCAGACACAUUGGUACAAACACAUACUCAUGGAGUGUGCACAUUCACUCAUGGCUUGGUUUCCAUCUGAAAGAAAUAAGAAAUAACCAGUAUUUUUGUGGCUUAUCUGGCCACCAUCACCCUUAGACUGGCAAGGUCUCUUCAGUGGCUGACAAGCUCCCAUCGUUUGCCCCAUUAAUUAUCUACACACGAACCUUUCUGCUUCUUAUCCUCUCUUUUGUUUCCUGCAAACAGUCUUUCAAACACACUUUCUAUUUUUUUUUCUUUGCUUUUUUAGGGCCGCACUCAUGGCCUUUGGAGGUUCCCAGGCUAAGGGUAGAAUCAGAGCCACAGCCACCAGCCUAUACCACAGCCACAGCAACAUCAGAUCCGAGCCGUGUCUUCAACCUACACCACAGCUCACAGCAAUGUCAGAUCCUUAACCCACUGAGCAAGGCCAGGGAUCGAACCUGUGUCCUCAUGGUUGCUAGUCAGAUUCAUUUCCACUGAGCUACAACGGGAACUCCUAAAACAAACUUUCUUUGUAUAUCUUAUUUUGCUCUGUUUUGAAUUUAUCCACAUGUCUCCCCCUCUUUCAUAGAAACAGUUGUACAGAGGAAGUAUGGCGCGGCUCACUCUCUGCAGCCGUCAGCUCUUCUAGGACUGGACCAGUGAUUCACAUAAAUCAGACACUUUCAAAUGACCAUAGUACCAGUCACACCCUGGUACAGCUGCUAGAGCUCCUUCCACUUGUGAUGGGACUACCGUGCCCUGUGAUCUGGCCACUGUCUUUUCUCUGGGUCUCAUUUCCCUUCCAUGGGAAGUCAGGGCAAGAGCAGUGAACCAAAGUGGCAGAUGGUGUCUUUGUCAAAAGGCUGGUGAACUGGCUUCUGUUUUCCAUUUCUGCUUCUUUGUGUUGCCUUGACCUGCUCAGCCUCUGAUGGGUGUUGGGGCAAGUCGGAGCCACAGGGCCAUUACUAUCUGGUGUGGCUGGUCACCCAGUUCCUUGAGAAGGAAAUUUACCUUAUUUAAUAUAAAAUUAAAGUUUGUCUAGGGAAACUCUGACCUUGCAACUCCAGCACAGAACUUCCUGCUUUGACAUGUAGGCUGUUUGACACAGAUGCCUUCUCACAGGAGAAGCAGAACUGUGAGGCAAAGCUGUGCAGGUUGGUGGAAGGGGCAGUGGACCUGAAUCUGGACGGAGUCCUCAAAUGGUUCAGUGGUCAGUGCUGUUAAGUCACGUGAGGCCCCUAAGUUUAAGUUUCUUUACCUCCAAAAUGAAGACAUUUGAUUGGGUCCAUGAUUCUCAAUUGUCUGCUUCCCUAGGACCCCAUCAGCAGCCGUGUUUCCAUGUGGUCGUGAUGGUCUGUGCGGGAAUAUGUCCCAGGGGCCAGAAGAGGGAGAAUGAGGGUGGCUCUGGGGUUCUUUAAAGAAGCUCUCUGGGGGAUUUUUAUAUCUAGCCCAGGGAUGAGUGCCCUCUUCUCUCUUAGAAUCACUGAAUUCAGUGCUUCCUAAGGUCCCAUCUAUGCUUAAAAUCAUGUGUUGAAAGAGAUAAGCUAUUUAACUGUAGCAACGGAAAAUGUAAGGUAAUGCCUUUGGAGCCAAAUGUUUAUUAAAAGAUUGCAGUAGUCAAGUGACUAAGGCGAGUAGACUGUGCAAAAACAUUUCAGGCCAUCAUUUUCAAAAUCUUAAUCAUUGGUUUGGUUUGAUUUGGUCUUAAUUAAAACUAGCUGCCCUUUCCCCCACCAUCACCAGUUUGGUCCAGCCUGUCUGGACAGUAAGGAGAGACCCUUGCUCCAGAAAUUGUGGGAAGCUGAGUGUCCCUAGGAAGGCGAAGAGAGAGGAAGCAGAGUAAGUCCUGGCUUUCUAGAAUUCAGAGACUCACAGUGUGUUCAGGAGAAAGAAGACGGAAGAAACAGAAGACAGCUGUGUUAUUCACAGAGGAGUCUCACAAACCCUAGCUGCCUGCUGCUGGUCACCCCCCUCUAUUGUGGACAGCUCCAGUGGCUGGGGCAGGCGACUUUGUGGCUUCUCUCUGCUUUUGCUAGUUCUUCUGUGAGCGACGUAGAACAGUCUACUGGACUUCAUCAUCUUUCAAAAAAUUGAAGCUAUGAAGAUGACAGUAACCCUCUCCUGCACAGAUCUUGUCCAGAAAAAGAGAGCAGCUAUCUUCCAGUCGCUCCUCGUCUGAAGUUACCUUCAGACACAGAAAGCACAAGUGAU
rnacentral:lncRNA from 1 species